rnacentral:lncRNA from 1 species
AUGCAAGAAAAACGGCUCCCCACCCUCAGAAGGCCUGAGUGCUGCCAACUACUUCGGAAACAGAAACUGCUCGUUGGUAACCUCCUGGCAGGCCCACACCAGCCACUCCGGGAAGCCCCCAGGGUUAUAAUAAGGAGUGUUCACAGGACCUCAGGGGAAAAAAAUGCAGUAUCUCUCAAGACUCACCACUCAAUCACAGCAUAAUUGGCAACAGAAUCCUUUGCUGAGAUCAGCCCCUGUCCCUGGACAUCCCCCAGACUGCAUCAUAAUCCACAUGCAGUUCUUUUUCCAUUUUAUUAAAAUUGUUAUAAAAUAAACAGAACAAAAGUUUUUGCUUAUUUUUGAAUUGGGUUAUUUUUGGUUGUUGAGUCUUAGGAGUUGUCCGUGUAUUAUGAACAUUAAUACCACAGCAGAUUACAAAUAUCUUCUCCUUUUUUGCCGGUUACUUUUUUACUCUCUUGAUAAUAUCUUUAAAAAAAAUUUUUUCUUGAGACAAGGUCUUGCUAUAUAGUUCAGGCUGGCCUUGAACUCACUGUGUAGCCCAGGCUGGCCUCGAACUCAGGGCAAUCCUCCUGCCUGGGAUUACAGCUGUGCACCACCAUGCCAAACUUUUGAUAGUAUCUUUUUUUUUGGUACCAGGCAUCGAACUUGGGACCUUGCGCUUGCGAAGCAGGCAGUGGCACCACUGAGCUAAAUCCUUGGCCCCUUGAUAGGAUCUUUUUUUGUUUGUUUUGUUUUUUUGUUUUUUAGUACCGGGGAUCGAACUCGGGUCCUCAAGCUUGUGCAGCAGGCGGUGAAACCACUGAGCUAAAUCCCCGGCCCUAUCUUUUGAUGCGUACAUUUUUAAAAUUUUAUAAAGUUCAGUUUGUCUACUUUUUCUUUUGCUGCCUGUGUCUUUCCUGUCAUAUCCAAGACAUUGUUCUCAAAUCCAAUGUUGCAAAAAUGUUUCCCUGUGUUUUCUUCUAAGAGUUUCGUAGUUUUAGGUCUUACAUUUAGGCCAUGAAUCCACUUUGAGUUAGUUUUUGUACAUGAUGUUAGGUAAGGGUCCAACUUCCUUCUUUUGUGUGUGGAUAUCCAAUAUUCCCAGCAUCAUUUGUUAAAAAGACCAUCUUUCUGGGGCUUCGUGUGGAGCUCAGUGGUAGUGCACUUGCCUCACAUAUGUAAAGCCAUGAGACCCAUCCUUAGCAUUGCCAAAAAAAGACUGCCUUUCUCCACUGUCUGGAUCUCCAUGUUGAAAAUGAUUUAACCAUGUGUUCAAAGUUUUAUUUCUAGAUGCUAGUCUGUUCCAUUGGUCUAUAUGUCUGUCUUUAUGCUCAUACUAAACUUUUUGAUGAAUAUAGCAUUUAUUAAAUUUUAAAAUCAGAAACUGUGAGUCCUCCAGCUUAGUUCUUUAUAAAGAGUGUUUUAGCUAUCCCAUAUGAAUUGUAGGAUAGAUCUUUUUUAUUAUUAUUAUUAUUAUUAUUAUUAUUAUUAUUAUUUUGAUUUUGAAGCCCUGAGGAUCACACAUGCUAGGCAAGUGCUCUACCACUGAGCUUCAGCUUCAGCAAGACGGAUUUUUCUAUUUCUUUAAAAAAAU